rnacentral:rRNA from 1 species
GAUGAACGCUGGCGGCGUGCCUAAUACAUGCAAGUCGAGCGAACAGACGAGGAGCUUGCUCCUCUGACGUUAGCGGCGGACGGGUGAGUAACACGUGGAUAACCUACCUAUAAGACUGGGAUAACUUCGGGAAACCGGAGCUAGUACCGGAUAAUAUAUUGAACCGCAUGGUUCAAUAGUGAAAGACGGUUUUGCUGUCACUUAUAGGUGGAUCCGCGCCGCAUUAGCUAGUUGGUAAGGUAACGGCUUACCAAGGCAACGAUGCGUAGCCGACCUGAGAGGGUGAUCGGCCACACUGGAACUGAGACACGGUCCAGACUCCUACGGGAGGCAGCAGUAGGGAAUCUUCCGCAAUGGGCGAAAGCCUGACGGAGCAACGCCGCGUGAGUGAUGAAGGUCUUCGGAUCGUAAAACUCUGUUAUUAGGGAAGAACAAAUGUGUAAGUAACUAUGCACGUCUUGACGGUACCUAAUCAGAAAGCCACGGCUAACUACGUG